rnacentral:sRNA from 1 species
AACCGCCGGCAGGGGCGGGGGACCCAGAUCUGGGCACCGGAACCUCGGUGUCCUUGGGGUGAAGCCCCCGAGUCCGAUCUCGAUCGGUCUCGAGGGCCGGGUGCACUCCCACCCGAACCCGACAGCUCACCUCGUAGGCGCAUGGA